CAAACACUAAACGGGGAGAAGCUAAGUAGUUGAUUUGGACAAAAAAGUCUUCAUCAAACUCUAAAGGGCGAGAAGCUGUUGGAGCAACUUCAAGAAGUUGCUUUCUCUGGAUGAUGACCAAGAAGAUUCAGAUGAUUUUUGUAAGUUGAUGAAAUAUCUUUACUUCCACUGUGUACUAUGCUUAAGUGUGUGUUUUCUGAUGGUGGAUCCCAUUUUCCAUUCAGUUACAAAGAAACUACAGGUUAUUCUAUUGUGUCCGAAACUGACUCAGAAAUUUUGUUGCAAUCUGAGACUAAUGAAGCCAAAAAUGGAGCUGCAUGCUUGUAUGUCAUUGGCCUGUGUUCCUUUUACACAAUUCCUUGCUAUUAGUAUUUUUUAUGACUUCGUGCUUAAA